UACAGAGGUCCCGAGCGUUGUUCGGAUUCAUUGGGCGUAAAGGGUGCGUAGGCGGCUGGGUAAGUUUGAUGUGAAAUCCUGGGGCUCAACCCUGGAACUGCAUUGAAUACUGCUCGGCUAGAGUACUGGAGAGGAACUGGAAUUCACGGUGUAGCAGUGAAAUGCGUAGAUAUCGUGAGGAAGACCAGUGGCGAAGGCGAGUUUCUGGACAGUUACUGACGCUGAGGCACGAAGGCUAGGGGAGCAAACGGG
rnacentral:rRNA from 1 species